rnacentral:RNase_P_RNA from 1 species
CGGGCUGGUCGGGCGACCGCGUGACCCAUCGCCGCGAGGCGUCGGGUCCCGAGGAAAGUCCGGGCUCCACAGAGCAGGGUGGUGGGUAACACCCACCCGGGGUGACCCGCGGGACAGUGCCACAGAGAACAGACCGCCGCCUCCUCCGGGAGGCGGUAAGGGUGAAACGGUGGGGCAAGAGCCCACCAGUGCACCGGGCGACCGGUGCAGCUCGGCAAACCCCACCCGGAGCAAGACCAGACAGCACACGUUCGAGGGCGGCUCGUCCGAGUGUGCGGGUAGGUCGCUCGAGGCUGUCGGCAACGGCAGCCCUAGAUGGAUGGUCGCCCCCUUGGCAACAGGGGACAGAACCCGGCUUACAGGCCAGCCCGUCCC